rnacentral:rRNA from 1 species
UACGUAGGGUGCAAGCGUUGUCCGGAAUUAUUGGGCGUAAAGAGCUCGUAGGCGGUUUGUCGCGUCGAAUGUGAAAACCCGGGGCUCAACCCCGGGCCUGCAUUCGAUACGGGCAGACUAGAGUUCGGUAGGGGAGUCUGGAAUUCCUGGUGUAGCGGUGAAAUGCGCAGAUAUCAGGAGGAACACCGAUGGCGAAGGCAGGUCUCUGGGCAUUAACUGACGCUGAGGCGCGAAAGCUAGGGGAGCGAACGGG